UCUUCGCUAGUAUAUCGGUUAGUACACGCGCCUGUCACCAAUCCAAAUCGCGCGAAAGCUGGGUUCGACUCCCAGGCGAAGAG